GAUGAAGAACGUAGCGAAAUGCGAUAAGUAGUGUGAAUUGCAGAAUUCAGUGAAUCAUCGAAUCUUUGAACGCACAUUGCGCCCCUUGGUAUUCCAUGGGGCAUGCCUGUUCGAGCGUCAUUUGUACCUUCAAGCUUUGCCUGGUGUUGGGUGUUUGUCUCGCCUUUGCGUGUAGACUCGCCUUAAAAUAAUUGGCAGCCGGCGUAUUGAUUUCGGAGCGCAGUACAUCUCGCGCUUUGCACUCAUAACGACAGCGUCCAAAAGUACAUUUUACACUCUUGACCUCGGAUCAGGUAGGGAUACCCGCUGAACUUAAGCAUAUCAAUAAGCGGAGGA
rnacentral:misc_RNA from 1 species